rnacentral:lncRNA from 1 species
AAAAUUACACAAUUUUUACCUAAGUUGACUUUUGGUCAACCAGUUAACCAAAAUCAACCAUCUAAUCCAAGUCAUAAAUAAUACAUGAACCAUUUUCAUAUUCUCAAGCCACUUUAAACCAUGUUCAUUUUAUACGAUACGUAAACCAUUUUGCAUUGUUUAAGCCAUUUUCCACUUUUAAAAACCUUGAUUCAUUACAACCAUUAUGCUUUCCAUUUCAUGUACAAAUAAAC